CAGCAAUGCUUUAGUGGAUGACGGUACAAGCAGGCAUAAGAGGCUCAAGUUUAAUAAAACAGAAGAAAGUGGAACCAAGUUUUAAGUAAUAAUGGAACUGAAAUCUGCUAGAUGUCUUAGAACAGAAGGUUCUCUUUUCUUAGGCAACAUGGUAUAAUAGAAAGUACUCUGAACAUGGAGGAUCUGAGUUCAGAUUUAGCCUCUAUCACUUUUGAUGUUGGACAAACAUGCAACUUCUCUUGGACUUAGUGCCUCAGGUAUAAAAUGAAGAGGUCGGAUUUGAUGGCCUCUGAGAUCUCUUUCAGUUUUUCCAAGUAACUCAUUUUUUUUAGUGAUGUACAAUUUUUCCUGAUUUCUUUUGGGGUUCUCUUUGAAAAGAUACUGGAUUGGUUUGCCAUUUCGUUCUCUAGCUCAUUUGACAGGAUUAAGUGACUUGCCCAGGAUCACAUAGUUAUUGUCUGAGACCAGAUUUGAACUAAGAAAGAUGUCUUCCUGAUUCUAGGUCUGAUACUCUAUCCACUACAAUACUUAGAUCUAUAAUUCUUCUUUUAUCAUAAAACAGAAUUUUAUUGGAAUUGAGUUUAUGAAUUAGAAUAUGAAAUGGCACACUAAUGAAACUGAUAGAUUCAAUUCUUAUGCAUAUUUAGAAGCUUGCCAAAUCUAGUUAUUCUGCCUUAAUUUAUAUCCCAAAUUUUAGUCCUAGAGGGCAGAGCCAACAUGUUGGCUUAGUAGCAAUGAAAGCUGAAAUUGCUCAGAGAAUCCUCUCAAACCAAACUCUAGUCCUACAGUACUAGGAUAUUACUACUUGCCUCUUGGAUAUCCCUAUCUUGGCAUUUCAAAAUCAAUACAUUCACAACAGAACUAAUCAUCCCAACCCUACACUCAGUAACAUUCCUCCUCCCAACAUUUCUAUUUCUGCUGAAGGAAACACCUAUCUUGAAAUCACCAGGUUCACAAGCUCAGAGUCAUCUUUAAUUUUUAAAUUUCUCUCAUUUUGCAUAUCUAGUCAGUUCUCAAGCAUAUCCAUUCUAUAUUUAUACAUCUCUCUAAUCCUUCUCCUCUCUGCUCAUAAGUAUCCUACUUAGGGAAAAGAUGAAGUUGUCUCCAUACCAAGGUUUUGGGUAAUAAGGUACAGACUUCUCAAACAGAUAUCUAUGCAGCACCUUCAAAUUCAUUUAUGUUUAGUGAUCUUAGAAUUCCUAUUGUGCUUUAAUGUUUGUAUAUACUUUUCAUAUUUUAUCACAUUUAAAGUUUACAAGGGGAAGGUGGGUGGCUCAGUGGAUUGAGAGUGAGGCCCAGAGAUAGGAGAUUCUAGGUUCAAAUCUGACCUCAACCAUUUCCUAGCUUUGUGACCCUGGGCAAGUCACUUGACCACCAUUGCCUAGUCCUUACUGCUCUUCUGCCUUGGAACCAAUAAACAGUAUUGAUUCUAAAAUGGAAGGUAAGGG
rnacentral:lncRNA from 1 species